rnacentral:rRNA from 1 species
GACGAACGCUGGCGGCGUGCCUAAUACAUGCAAGUCGAACGCUUCUUUCCUCCCGAGUGCUUGCACUCAAUUGGAAAGAGGAGUGGCGGACGGGUGAGUAACACGUGGGUAACCUACCCAUCAGAGGGGGAUAACACUUGGAAACAGGUGCUAAUACCGCAUAACAGUUUAUGCCGCAUGGCAUAAGAGUGAAAGGCGCUUUCGGGUGUCGCUGAUGGAUGGACCCGCGGUGCAUUAGCUAGUUGGUGAGGUAACGGCUCACCAAGGCCACGAUGCAUAGCCGACCUGAGAGGGUGGUCGGCCACACUGGGACUGAGACACGGCCCAGACUCCUACGGGAGGCAGCAGUAGGGAAUCUUCGGCAAUGGACGAAAGUCUGACCGAGCAACGCCGCGUGAGUGAAGAAGGUUUUCGGAUCGUAAAACUCUGUUGUUAGAGAAGAACAAGGACGUUAGUAACUGAACGUCCCCUGACGGUAUCUAACCAGAAAGCCACGGCUAACUACGUG